rnacentral:rRNA from 1 species
UACGUAGGGUGCAAGCGUUAAUCGGAAUUACUGGGCGUAAAGCGUGCGCAGGCGGUGAUGUAAGACAGCUGUGAAAUCCCCGGGCUCAACCUGGGAACUGCAUCUGUGACUGCAUUGCUGGAGUGCGGCAGAGGGGGGUAGAAUUCCACGUGUAGCAGUGAAAUGCGUAGAUAUGUGGAGGAACACCGAUGGCGAAGGCAGCCCCCUGGGUCAAGACUGACGCUCAUGCACGAAAGCGUGGGGAGCAAACAGG